GGGGGUAUAGCUCAGCGGUAGAAUGCGUGCUUGGUGUGCACGAGGUCCAGGGUUCAAUCCCCAGGGCCUCCA